CUAGUCCGACUUUGUGAAAUAACUUGAGAGGUGUAGAAUAAGUGGGAGCUCCGGCGCAAGUGAAAUACCACUACUUUUAACGUUAUUUUACUUACUCCGUGAAUCGGAGGCGGGGUAACAACCCCUUCUUUUAGACCCAAGACUCGCCGAAGAAGUUUCCUCGGGUUAGUCGGGUAUUCAAGAACUUUUCUUCGAUCGCUAAGCCCUUGACGAAGUUGACCGGAAAAGGAGUUCCGUUCAUCUGGGGAAAAGAAACGGAUGAAG
rnacentral:ncRNA from 2 species